GAUGAACGCUGGCGGCGUGCCUAAUACAUGCAAGUCGAGCGAACGGACGAGAAGCUUGCUUCUCUGAUGUUAGCGGCGGACGGGUGAGUAACACGUGGAUAACCUACCUAUAAGACUGGGAUAACUUCGGGAAACCGGAGCUAAUACCGGAUAAUAUUUUGAACCGCAUGGUUCAAAAGUGAAAGACGGUCUUGCUGUCACUUAUAGAUGGAUCCGCGCUGCAUUAGCUAGUUGGUAAGGUAACGGCUUACCAAGGCAACGAUGCAUAGCCGACCUGAGAGGGUGAUCGGCCACACUGGAACUGAGACACGGUCGAGACUCCUACGGGAGGCAGCAGUAGGGAAUCUUCCGCGAUGGGCGAAAGCCUGAUGGAGCAACGCCGCGUGAGUGAUGAAGGUCUUCGGAUCGUAAAGCUCUGUAAGUAGGGAAGAAGAUAUGUGUAAGUAACUGUGCAGAUCUUGACGGUACCUAAACAAAAAGCCACGGCUAACUACGUG
rnacentral:rRNA from 1 species